UCCCGGUUGAUCCUGGCAGAGGUUACUGCUAUCGAGAUUCGACUAAGCCAUGCGAGUCGAAUGUUCUUCGUGAACAUGGCGGACUGCUCAGUAACACGUGGACAACCUACCCUUGGGUCUGGCAUAAUCCUGGGAAACUGGGUAUAAUUCCAGAUAGGUCACAGAUGCUGGAAUGCACUGUGGCCGAAAGCUACGGCGCCCAAGGAUGGGUCUGCGGCCUAUCAGGGUUGUAGUGGGUGUAACGGACCUACUAGCCUACGACGGGUACGGGUUGUGAGAGCAAGAGCCCGGAGAUGGAUUCUGAGACACGAAUCCAGGCCCUACGGGGUGCAGCAGGCGCGAAAACUUUACAAUGCGGGAAACCGUGAUAAGGGAAUCUCGAGUGCCAGCAUAUAAUGUUGGCUGUCCAGAUGCCUAAAAGCAUCUGUUAGCAAGGGCCGGGCAAGACCGGUGCCAGCCGCCGCGGUAACACCGGCGGCCCGAGUGGUACCGCUUUUAUUGGGUCUAAAGGGUCUGUAGCCGGCCAAGUAAGUCCCUUGGGAAAUCUGGCAGCUUAACUGUCAGGCUGCUAGGGGAUACUGCUAGGCUUGGGACCGGGAGAGGUGAGAGGUACCUUGGGGGUAGGGGUGAAAUCUUGUGAUCCUCGGGGGACCACCAGUGGCGAAGGCGUCUCCCAGAACGGGUCCGACGGUAAGGGACGAAAGCAAGGGGCACGAACCGGAUUAGAUACCCGGGUAGUCCUAGCCGUAAACGAUGCUCGCUAGGUGUCAGUCCGGUGCGACCGUGAUUGGUGCCGUAGGGAAGCCGUGAAGCGAGCCCCUGGGAAGUAUGGCCGCAAGGCUGAAACUUAAAGGAAUUGGCGGGA
rnacentral:rRNA from 1 species